rnacentral:rRNA from 1 species
GACAGAGGCCCCAAGCGUUAGGCGGAAGCACUGGGCUUAAAGCGUGUGUAGGCGGAUCGUUAAGGGUCUUGUGAAAUCCCACGGCUCACCCGUGGAACUGCUGGGCAUACUGGCGAUCUUGGGCCAACUAGGGGCAGUCGGAACAAGCGGUGGAGCGGUGAAAUGCGUAGAUAUCGCUUGGCCCGCCGAAGGUGAAAACAGACUGCUUGGGUUGCGCCGACGCUGAGACACGAAAGCCAGGGGAGCAAACGGG